AUAUUUGCCGCGACCCAAUCCGUCGUUUGUGACAGCGUGACGUUCGCUCUGUGACGUCACCGGUCAUUGCGGUGUUUCCGCGCGAGUCAUAUGGGAGCCCAUGACUAUUAAAUUCAUUUAAUUUAUAACUAAAAUAUUAUAAUUUCAUUGAAAAAAUAUUUAUAAAAGAAAAUGUUCAUCAUCCAGAAAAGAAAAAGAACACCAUCACUCGAGAUUCGAACUCAAAACCUCUGGGUCGACGGCCACCGAUGGAUUCGAUCCCUCGACCCCACGCGCUUAUUAUGUCCAAAUGUGUGAGAGAGAAACAACACUCCCUACUACCCCAUCUCCGUGACAGUUUGAAUUUGUCUUCGUUGCCAUGAUGUCCCGAACAUAUAAGCCUACGGGAGGAAGCGAAAGCGAGAAUGAAACGCGUCAUCAGCGCCGCCACAUUUGAGAAGCGUUGAUAUAUAUAGCAACACUCGAUUUUUUGCGCACAAUUUUUGAGGACGUAAAUUCGGAGAUAUCAAUAAAAUACGGUGACCGUACGUUGUGUAAAGAUACCAAUUUCGAGUGCUAUAUAUACACGAAGAAUUUGCAGUCUUUUGUCCGGUGUUCGUACAAUUGCAAAGCAUCAUGGUCCGCAAUUCAUUUCUCAUCACGGUGACAGUCCUCCUUGCUGCUAAUAUAGCGCUCAUCACAUCCUGCAUGCCAACUACAAUUUACACGAGAUCAACAAAAAAUGGAAAAUGAAGCUGAUCAUCGAUUAUACUAUCAAACGGAAUUUUCCGUUGAGCAUCUUCAAUGGAGGAAGAUUUUACGGUGCGACCCCCUGUCAAGAUGCAGUCAUAAUUACGUAUUUCAAUUUAUUGUGAGACAAAAUCGUGUUGCAUGAAAUAGAGCUUUACUAUAUAUACGAUGUUUCAAAAAAUCGAUCAUUCAAGAUGGUAUCCAUUAUUGGAAAUAUUGUAAUAAACUGAUGCUAGAAGAAACAAAAUAUAAACUGACUCAGCGUUUGAUUCUAAUUGAAAUAAAUUGAUUGAAAUUA